GGGAAAGAGGUGUAGUGUUCGCCGCCUCCGCAGCGGCCUCUGGCGCCGCCCUCCUCGAGCGCGUCACCUGCGGGGCUGCCGCACCUCUCCUCGAGUACGGGCUCCGCCUCCUCGAGCACGCACCGGCGCCGCCCUCCUCGAGCACGCCACCUACGGGGCCGCCUUACCCCUCCUCGAGCACGUGACCUACGGGGCCGCCUCACCCCUCCUCGAGCACGACACCUACGCAGCCACCGCACCCCUCCACGAGCGCGGGUACCGUCUCCUCGAGCACACACCGGAGCCGCCCGCCUCCUCGAGUACGCACCGGAGCCGCCCCGCGACGUGCUCUACUCCGCCGUCGAUCUCGACGCGUCCCGCGCGCACCUACUGGAGCGGUAUCGGUCCUCCUCCCGGAAGCGCGCUCCCGCAGCUCGCGGCAUCCCUCGAGGAGGUCCGCGUCUAGCUCGCCCACAACGGCGAGGGUUCCCGGGAGCGACGGCGCAUAGCUGAUCACGUCCUUCGGUUUCUACCCAACAGACGUCUCUUCCGCGCCGAACCCCCAACAGGAUUCGUCGUCAGGUAGCAUCGGAUCCAGUGACGGUACAUGGGACACUGACAGAAGGCGCUGGAAGGUCAAUGUCUUUUGGUAGCAAGACUACGAGUAUACGGAGGAGGUUCGUUGUUACAAAGACCCUGUUUAGUUUGAAAAAAUUUGCUACGGUUUUUUACGGGAACGAACCGUUUAAAUGAAGUAAAAAACGGUACCGUUUUCAUGAAAAUAAGUGUGCCGUUUUAAAUCAAAUUGAACGGUACCG
rnacentral:rRNA from 1 species